AUUGAACGCUGGCGGCAUGCCUUACACAUGCAAGUCGAACGGUAACGGGCCUUCGGGUGCCGACGAGUGGCGAACGGGUGAGUAAUGUAUCGGAACGUACCUUUCAGUGGGGGAUAACGUAGCGAAAGUUACGCUAAUACCGCAUAUUCUGUGAGCAGGAAAGCAGGGGAUCGCAAGACCUUGCGCUGAUUGAGCGGCCGAUAUCAGAUUAGCUAGGUGGUGAGGUAAAGGCUCACCAAGGCGACGAUCUGUAGCGGGUCUGAGAGGAUGAUCCGCCACACUGGAACUGGGACACGGUCCAGACGCCUACGGGAGGCAGCAGUGGGGAAUUUUGGACAAUGGGGGCAACCCUGAUCCAGCCAUGCCGCGUGAGUGAAGAAGGCCUUCGGGUUGUAAAGCUCUUUCGGCCGGGAAGAAAUCGCACGGGCUAAUACCCUGUGUGGAUGACGGUACCGGAAUAAGAAGCACCGGCUAACUACGUGCCAGCAGCCGCAGUAAUAC
rnacentral:rRNA from 1 species